AUUCACUUAAGUUUAGAGAUGCACCAAAUCCAGAUUUUUGGGGUUUGGCCGAAUUCCAAAUCCAAAACCGAAAACCGAAUCCUACUCCCAUCCUCACUGUGACUGUCCGUCCUUUGCCAUACCUGAAGUUGCUGCAUUUUGAAUCGCCUCCUUUUGACUGAAAGUACUGCCAACAACACUUUUUCUGCUCACAAGUUCCAUUUUCACUUCUCACAGCCUACUGCAUUGAAUGGUCCACCUACAUAAACACCUUCCCGUAAUCAACGGUGGCGUCAUUAUGUCGACCAGCAUAGAACGCCUAGUGCAAGCGUAGGGUUAGGUGGAAA